rnacentral:rRNA from 1 species
UAACGCGUGGGAAUCUGCCCUUAGCUUCGGGAUAGCUCCGGGAAACCGGGAUUAAUACCGAAUAUGACUACGGUCGACAUCAGCCGUGGUGGAAAGAUUUAUCGGCUAGGGAUGAGCUCGCGGCCUAUCAGCUUGUUGGUGGGGUAACGGCCCACCAAGGCGACGACGGGUAGCCGGCCUGAGAGGGCGACCGGCCACACUGGGACUGAGACACGGCCCAGACUCCUACGGGAGGCAGCAGUGGGGAAUAUUGCGCAAUGGGCGAAAGCCUGACGCAGCGACGCCGCGUGCGGGAUGAAGGCCUUAGGGUUGU